ensembl:snoRNA
ACCAGAGUGAGAAAUGAGGAUAUUACUCUUUGUCUCAGUGUUACAAUGAAGACUUCAGAUCCAACUCUGAUCUCACUCAGAA